GUCCAAAUGUCUCUACCUUUCAGGUUGCAGAGUUUCCAAAACAGAAAGAAAUGGCAAUUUUUCUUCCCAAUGUAGUUGCAAAGGGAAAGGAAAUGUGCCACGCAGGCCUCGUUUUCUGCGUGUAAAACGCGUGUGUUCUUUAAAAGGCAGUGGUUGGCUGCUUAUCCGGACAUGAUGUGGUUGAAGCUGUCAUCGUAAUGGAAAUUCAUUGCUGUAGCUAUGGUAAAUUGAGUUUUCUGCCUGUGCUGAAUGCAUUAGUCUAAUGAGAUGUUUGCAGCUGGAGAGCUGAGCUGCUGGAGACUUGCACUACGCUAAAGACAGGGAGAAGAUGGCUUUUGCCGGGUCCUUGUGACUCUGCUGAAAGUCCUCUGUCCUUUGGGUCCUAAUGCCCAGGCUGUCUAAAGACUCUGCUCAGUGUCUUAACCUAAGCAAUAGGUGUCUUGAAGCUAACUUUGAGGGAGGACGGAGCAGGGAUGCGACGCCUGCGGGCACCUGGCUAGCGCCGCUGGUCCCCCCCUAGCCCGGAGCCCCUGCUGCCGCCCCAGCCCGCGCCCACCGCCUGCUGACAGAGGGUGAAGCCCGGCGUGUUCCAGUGAGUAAUCCCGGUAAUUCCCCCUUUCCAUCGCUGCCGAAUGGCUCUGGGGGGUGCUUGCUUUGCCCGGGGAUCGUCUGGCAGAAAGAAGUUGCUUUUGGGUUUGGUGCAUGCGGGGCUUGUGGCAGGAGUAAAGUUAACCC
rnacentral:lncRNA from 12 species